GAUGACGUCACUGCAAGGCGCCGGGGGACACGUUGGCUGCGUUUUCGGCGGGCUUCCCGGGUACAAAAAUGGCUAUGGCUAGCGAUUUCUACCUGCGCUACUACGUAGGGCACAAGGGCAAGUUUGGGCACGAGUUUCUGGAGUUCGAAUUUCGGCCGGACGGAAAGCUUAGAUAUGCCAACAACAGCAAUUACAAAAAUGAUGUCAUGAUCAGAAAAGAGGCUUAUGUGCACAAGAGUGUAAUGGAAGAACUGAAGAGGAUUAUUGAUGACAGUGAAAUUACAAAAGAAGAUGAUGCUUUGUGGCCUCCCCCUGAUAGGGUUGGCCGACAGGUUUGUAUUUAGUGAUUCUUUAAGUGUAUAAAUAUUAAAAAUUGAUAAUACUAUUUUGUUUCCAGUUAUUUAUUUGGAAUGAGUCUAAGUUGAUUCUCUGGCUAUUUAAUAGGCAUCUGGUAAAUUCUCUUUAAUUUUAUCUCUUAGUUCCGUUUUUCUGUGCUACCUCCUAGUAGUGAAGGAGUCAGUGCAUAGCUCUAAAUUUAGACAUCUUUCUCUGUAG
rnacentral:sRNA from 1 species